UACGAAGGGGGCUAGCGUUGUUCGGAAUUACUGGGCGUAAAGGGCGCGUAGGCGGCCUUCUAAGUCGAACGUGAAAUCCCUGGGCUCAACCCAGGAACUGCGUCCGAUACUGGGAGGCUUGAAUCCGGGAGAGGGAUGUGGAAUUCCAGGUGUAGCGGUGAAAUGCGUAGAUAUCUGGAGGAACACCGGUGGCGAAGGCGGCAUCCUGGACCGGUAUUGACGCUGAUGCGCGAAAGCCAGGGGAGCAAACGGG
rnacentral:rRNA from 1 species